UCCUGCAACCAGGCAGGGCAGUUCCCAACAGGACAGAACCCAAAGGCAGAGGCACCAGCACAGGCUGUUCCAUGGUCAAGCACCAGUCCUUUCCCAAAGCCUGGCAGGAGGUAACCUCAGGGCCAUUGCCGUGACAGGGAGGAUGAACCAGGACAGAGGCAGAAAGGAGAGCCUACAGUGGAGCCUGCUCUUUCCGGUCAGGUGGACGCUGGCUGCACCACGAGGCCUGACAUCUGCCCGCUGACCAGACUUCACCACCCAGAAUCACACGAACCUGAGGCUGACGCCCAGCCCUGCACAUACAAGCUGGGCG